GAGCGCAGGCGGUUUGAUAAGUCUGAAGUUAAAGGCUGUGGCUCAACCAUAGUUCGCUUUGGAAACUGUCAAACUUGAGUGCAGAAGGGGAGAGUGGAAUUCCAUGUGUAGCGGUGAAAUGCGUAGAUAUAUGGAGGAACACCGGUGGCGAAAGCGGCUCUCUGGUCUAUAACUGACGCUGAGGCUCGAAAGCGUGGGGAGCGAACAGGAUUAGAUACCCUGGUAGUCCACGCCGUAAACGAUGAGUGCUAGGUGUUGGAUCCUUUCCGGGAUUCAGUGCCGCAGCUAACGCAUUAAGCACUCCGCCUGGGGAGUACGACCGCAAGGUUGAAACUCAAAGGAAUUGACGGGGGCCCGCACAAGCGGUGGAGUAUGUGGUUUAAUUCGAUGCAACGCGAAGAACCUUACCAGGACUUGACAUCCCGAUGCUAUUUCUAGAGAUAGAAAGUUACUUCGGUACAUCGGUGACAGGUGGUGCAUGGGUUGUCGUCAGCUCGUGUCGUGAGAUGUUGGGUUAAUCCCCGNAACGACG
rnacentral:rRNA from 1 species